GCGCCCGUAGCUCAACUGGAUAGAGCGCUGCCCACUCCGGAGGCAGAGGUCUCAGGUUCGAAUCCUGUCGGGCGUACCA
rnacentral:tRNA from 1 species